rnacentral:rRNA from 1 species
GAGUGGCAAACGGGUGAGUAACGCGUAGACAACCUGCCGCAAAGAUGGGGACAACAGUCCGAAAGGACUGCUAAUACCGAAUGUUGUCAGAUUCCCGCAUGGGAGACUGAUUAAAGAUGGCCUCUACUUGUAAGCUAUCGCUUUGCGAUGGGUCUGCGUCUGAUUAGCUGGUUGGUGGGGUAACGGCCUACCAAGGCGACGAUCAGUAGCCGGUCUGAGAGGAUGAACGGCCACAUUGGAACUGAGACACGGUCCAGACUCCUACGGGAGGCAGCAGUGGGGAAUCUUCCGCAAUGGGCGAAAGCCUGACGGAGCAACGCCGCGUGAGUGAAGAAGGGUUUCGGCUCGUAAAGCUCUGUUGACGGGGACGAAUGUGCGAAAUGCGAAUAGUUUUUCGCAAUGACGGUACCCGUCGAGGAAGCCACGGCUAACUACGUGCCAGCAGCCGCGGUAAUACGUAGGUGGCGAGCGUUGUCCGGAAUUAUUGGGCGUAAAGGGAGCGCAGGCGGGAAGGCAAGUCAGUCUUAAAAGUGCGGGGCUCAACCCCGUGAUGGGAUUGAAACUGUCUUUCUUGAGUGCAGGAGAGGAAAGCGGAAUUCCUAGUGUAGCGGUGAAAUGCGUAGAUAUUAGGAGGAACACCAGUGGCGAAGGCGGC